rnacentral:rRNA from 1 species
UACAGGGGGGGCAAGCGUUGUUCGGAAUUACUGGGCGUAAAGGGCUCGUAGGCGGCCCGCUAAGUCAGACGUGAAAUCCCCAGGCUUAACCUGGGAACUGCGUGUGAUACUGGCUGGCUUGAAUUCGGGAGAGGGAAGCAGAAUUCCAGGUGUAGCGGUGAAAUGCGUAGAUAUCUGGAGGAAUACCGGUGGCGAAGGCGGCAUCCUGGACCGACAUUGACGCUGAGGAGCGAAAGCGAGGGGAGCAAACGGG